rnacentral:rRNA from 1 species
CCUACGGGUGGCAGCAGUGAGGAAUAUUGGUCAAUGGGCGGAAGCCUGAACCAGCCAAGUCGCGUGAGGGAAUAAGGCCCUACGGGUCGUAAACCUCUUUUGCCGGGGAGCAAGGGCGGGGACGUGUCCCGCCCCGGAGAGUACCCGGAGAAAAAGCAUCGGCUAACUCCGUGCCAGCAGCCGCGGUAAUACGGAGGGUGCGAGCGUUAUCCGGAUUUAUUGGGGGUAAAGGGAGCGUAGGUGGAUUGUUAAGUCAGUUGUGAAAGUGUGCGGCUCACCCGUAAAAUUGCAGUUGAUACUGGCAGUCUUGAGUACAGGAGAGGUGGGCGGAAUUCGUGGUGUAGCGGUGAAAUGCGUAGAUAUCACGAGGAACUCCGAUUGCGAAGGCAGCUCACUGGACAGUAACUGACACUGAUGCACGAAAGUGUGGGUAUCAAACAGGAUUAGAUACCCUUGUAGUC